UACGUAGGGUGCAAGCGUUAAUCGGAAUUACUGGGCGUAAAGCGUGCGCAGGCGGUUUUGUAAGUUUGUCGUGAAAGCCCCGGGCUCAACCUGGGAAUUGCGAUGAAGACUGCAAGGCUUGAAUCUGGCAGAGGGGGGUAGAAGUUCCACGUGUAGCAGUGAAAUGCGUAGAGAUGUGGAGGAAUACCGAUGGCGAAGGCAGCCUCCUGGGCCAACACUGACGCUCGAUGCACGAAAGCGUGGGGAGCAAACAGG
rnacentral:rRNA from 1 species